UAGAUUGUUUUUUCUCUUCCUAAUUGCUGUAUCGUACCUUAUCUCAAGUGCUGCUAUUCCUACAAGUAGAAAGAUAAAGCCAAAUAAGGAAGACCCAUCUGCUCAAGAUCUUCUGGUUCCGGAUGCACUAGUCUUCUUUAAGGAUGGAAAUGAUCAUCAAGGGUUUGAUUUUGAAACCGCUGACUACAAGCCUCCAGGACAUAAUACAGACCAUGAACCGAAAACCCCUGGAAGAGCUUAAUUAAAGACAAGUCGACCGAAAUUCCUAAGAUGUUUGUGAAUACCAAUAAACUUUGAAGGGGGGUUUGGAUCUUGGACUUGGUUAUCUUCUCUUGCUAUUGAUGAGUGUGCUCUCUAUCUGUGUUCUUAAAUUUGUGUUGCCUUAGAUCUCCUUGAACUGGAUCUUGAAAGUGUCGCUUGUUUGUGUAUAUAGUUUGUGACCUAACAGGUCUACCCUGCUUGUUUUCAAGAAUUAUUAAUGUUAUCUAUGGUUUG